rnacentral:rRNA from 1 species
UACAGAGGGUGCAAGCGUUAAUCGGAUUUACUGGGCGUAAAGCGCGCGUAGGUGGCCAAUUAGGUCAAAUGUGAAAUCCCCGAGCUUAACUUGGGAAUUGCAUUCGAUACUGGUUGGCUAGAGUAUGGGAGAGGAUGGUAGAAUUCCAGGUGUAGCGGUGAAAUGCGUAGAGAUCUGGAGGAAUACCGAUGGCGAAGGCAGCCAUCUGGCCUAAUACUGACACUGAGGUGCGAAAGCGUGGGGAGCAAACAGG